GUGCAAUGGCAUAAGCCAGCUUGACUGCGAGCGUGACGGCGCGAGCAGGUGCGAAAGCAGGUCAUAGUGAUCCGGUGGUUCUGAAUGGAAGGGCCAUCGCUCAACGGAUAAAAGGUACUCCGGGGAUAACAGGCUGAUACCGCCCAAGAGUUCAUAUCGACGGCGGUGUUUGGCACCUCGAUGUCGGCUCAUCACAUCCUGGGGCUGAAGUAGGUCCCAAGGGUAUGGCUGUUCGCCAUUUAAAGUGGUACGCGAGCUGGGUUUAGAACGUCGUGAGACAGUUCGGUCCCUAUCUGCCGUGGGCGCUGGAGAACUGAGGGGGGCUGCUCCUAGUACGAGAGGACCGGAGUGGACGCAUCACUGGUGUUCGGGUUGUCAUGCCAAUGGCACUGCCCGGUAGCUAAAUGCGGAAGAGAUAAGUGCUGAAAGCAUCUAAGCACGAAACUUGCCCCGAGAUGAGUUCUCCCUGAGACUUUAAGUCUCCUGAAGGAACGUUGAAGACGACGACGUUGAUAGGCCGGGUGUGUAAGCGCAGCGAUGCGUUGAGCUAACCGGUACUAAUGAACCGUGAGG
rnacentral:rRNA from 1 species